GAUGAACGCUAGCGGGAGGCCUAACACAUGCAAGCCGAGCGGUAUUGUUUCUUCGGAAAUGAGAGAGCGGCGUACGGGUGCGUAACACGUGUGCAACCUGCCUUUAUCUGGGGGAUAGCCUUUCGAAAGGAAGAUUAAUACUCCAUAAUAUAUUGAACGGCAUCGUUUAAUAUUGAAAGCUCCGGCGGAUAGAGAUGGGCACGCGCAAGAUUAGCUAGUUGGUGAGGUAACGGCUCACCAAGGCGAUGAUCUUUAGGGGGACCGAGAGGGUGGGCCCCCACACUGGUACUGAGACACGGACCAGACUCCUACGGGAGGCAGCAGUGAGGAAUAUUGGUCAAUGGGUGCAAGCCUGAACCAGCCAUCCCGCGUGAAGGACGACUUCCUUAUGGGUUGUAAACUUCUUUUGUAUAGGGAUAAACCUACCCUCGUGAGGGUAGCUGAAGGUACUAUACGAAUAAGCACCGGCUAACUCCGUGCCAGCCGCCGCGGUAA
rnacentral:rRNA from 1 species